CGGAGAAAGAGAGAGAGAGAGAGGCGGCAGGCGGGGGAAGCGCCGUUCCCGACAACAGCCGCAGCAGGUGGCAGCGCUUGCUUGAGCUGGAAACUUGAGGAAAAUCAGCCUACUCAGGAGCUAAAAGCCAUGGAGAUGAUCCUUUGCCUCCAGUUUUAACAGAGCAGCAACUUUCUGAAGUACUGUAUGCUGUGACUCACUUCCAUGGUUGAGGAUGUUGUGACUCACUUCUAUGGUUGAGGGUGGACUUCAGUCUAAUUCUAAUACACUAUCUUAAUCACUGCCCCACUGUGGUUACACACUGAGAGAUAAUCAUACAUACAAGCAUGUACUUCCUAAUUUCUGUAAAUCAGGUUUCUGUACCCUAAAUGUCAUACAGAAAGCCUAUUUUUUUUCUGCUUGGAAACUAAGUAUUUUUGAGAAAGGUGAAUUACUCAAUCUUUGUGAAGUGCAAUUUUUUUAAAAAUGCAAAAUUCAAGUAUAUACAUGCUGGCAGGUAAUUCAUCCCAUGUUGCAUUUAUCCGCUGUAUUUUUUUUUUUAAUAAAACCACAUUUGUUCAAUGAACCAUGAUGCUGUUAUAUAUUUCUCAGACAUACUAUUUUGAGAAUGCUUUAUCUUUAAUGCUUAAAUCUCUUGCUAUUAGAGAUUUAAUGCUUAAAUCUUCCUGUUAGCAACAACCAAUUUCUGAACCUUUUCCACUUGAUGGAGAAAACAGCUGGAUAAAGUGAUUUAGAUGGUUAGAGACAGGAUUAAAUAUCAGCAAUAAAAAAUGUAACCAUCACUACCCUUCUAUAUCUUUUAAAUAUGUUAUUAGAAAUUGCACAAAAGGAUCAACUGGUAUAUAACAAUUUCAGGAGCGCUAGUGACAUAUCUGUCAUCAAGGAAAAAGAAGUUGUGUGUGUGUGUGUGUGUUUAAAUCUCUAAUCAUUACCAUCCUGAAAAUGGCAAGGAAUAAAAUGUUCAUUUCUGAUUAUUUUUUUAUAUUUUCAGCCACAGUCCCGUUGUUCAAUAGACGUAUAUCUCACAACUGUAUAUUAUAUGUGUAGUUAACCAAGACCAAGUCUAUUCUCAACCAUGGUAUCUCACUGAAUGAUUUUGAGUUACUUAUUGUCUCUUAGGCCAAUCUUUCCCAUAUCUUUUCUGUGUCUGCCUUCUGGACACCAUACCACCAAAGAUUAGGUUGUCCCACUUCUUCUUACCUUUUCGAAAGCCUUGAAAACAUUGCUCCCCAGGCAUGGACUUGGGAGUAACUGCUGAAGUAUGGUACGGUUGGCAGCCACUUUGAGUUUUAAUUGGUUGUGAAAUGUAUUUUAUAUUGUACUAUUAUUGUACUUUUUAAAUUUUUGUCAGUCUCCUUAUCAACUACUCAGAAUCUGGUUUUUUGAGAUGGGCAGCAAAUAUCUAUUUAAAUAAAUGUAUCUUAUCUUUCAGGAUUGUUUUUGCACAGUUAAAAUGAAAGGGGCUUCCCAUGUUUCCCAUGGAGGAAAAGCAGUCUUGUCAGUUUAUUGAAUACAAUAAAUAUGUCACAAUUAUAAAAGUAGCAGAAAAUUGGUGCUAUUGUAUACAAUCGUCUUGGGCAAACAUGUAUGUGAAAAUGACGGAAUACUUUUGGUGGGAUAUCCCAUCUGGGAUAAAGUUGAAAUGAUGGAUUUUUUCCCCCUAAAUAACCUGUUUAGAAUAAAUGUUGUGUACAUGAUCUAAUAUGAAUGGAAGACAAAAAUUAGAGCAACCCAUAACCAACAAACUAAUGUAUUGUAAUUCUGUCUAUGGACAACAGAGAAAGGUAAGUUGAACAGAAACAUGUCUUGCCAGCAAGAACAUGAGCUGAAGUGCUUUGUAGAAUACUGGGAAAUAAUGCUUAUUAAUGCAGAACUCCUGAUGGAACAAUGACCAUGACCAUUAAUGGUUAAAUAAAACACUGUUUUUCUUCCCC